rnacentral:rRNA from 1 species
ACGCACGCUGGCGGCGUGCUUCACACCUGCCAGUCGAACGGAAAGGCCCUGCUUUUGUGGGGUGCUCGAGUGGCGAACGGGUGAGUAACACGUGAGUAACCUGCCCUUGACUUUGGGAUAACUUCAGGAAACUGGGGCUAAUACCGGAUAGGAGCUCCUGCUGCAUGGUGGGGGUUGGAAAGUUUCGGCGGUUGGGGAUGGACUCGCGGCUUAUCAGCUUGUUGGUGGAGUAGUGGCUUACCAAGGCUUUGACGGGUAGCCGGCCUGAGAGGGUGACCGGCCACAUUGGGACUGAGAUACGGCCCAGACUCCUACGGGCGGCAGCGGUGGGGAAUAUUGCGCAAUGGGCGGAAGCCAGAUGCAGCGACGCCGCGUGCGGGAUGACGGCCUUCGGGUUGUAAACCGCUUUCGCCUGUGACGAAGCGUGAGUGACGGUAAUGGGUAAAGAAGCACCGGCUAACUACGUG